UUUAGAAUGAUUCCAAACACGAUAUAAUUUGGAAUGUAUUUGUUUACUUAAUAAAUGAUAAUUUUUCUUUAUAUUAUAAUGUAUAAACAUAGUGCAUUUUUAAAAGUAAACUAAUAUAAAUUAGGCAGAUCGUACAUAUUUUGCUUUCGUAAGAUUUAUGAUUGGACUAGACCAAGUGUAGCCGAAGAAAAUGUUUGCGAGAAUAGGUAAUUCACUCGAUGGACGAUGGCUGGUGACUCGAAUUUAGAUCAUUGCUGUUAAUAGAUCUGGCCACCGAAUGGGAAAAGCAAAACUCCCUUCUGAUGUGUAUAAGAAAACGUGAAGUUCGAAUGUCUAAAACGGUUGCCUAGCCUUCAUUAUCCUCGG